GUUCGAUUUAUGUGAAAGGUCAUGUAAAUGAUACAAUGCUGAAUAGAGUUGAAUUUACUCUCGCUGCCCGCUAUACAUGUAUAAAAUCUCGAAAUUAGUAAUUUGAUUAUAUUUAGAUUAAUGUUAGUUUAGGUUAAAGUAUUUAAAAAAGUUUUGUAUUAGGUAUUUAUUGGUAAUAACAUUGGGUGGAGAAGAAUUGAUAUUUGACGUAGAACUAGACUAAAUAUAAGAUAAAUUUGUAAAACUUAUAACAUUAAGAUGAUUUUAUAAGUUGAUGCUGCUAUAUGUUUAAAGAUUCCUUUCAUUUAAAUUAGCACCUUAUAGUUAAUGUCCCGUCCAAGGAGACUUAUCUAAUUUUAUGGCGGUUUAAAAAAUUGAAAUUUCUGAUAUUGAUGAUUAUUAAAUUGAAAAUAAUAAAUGUAAAAAUAUUAUCCCAUAGAUUAGGAUCAAAGUUUAUUUUAAAUUAUUGAAGUAUUUGAAUUUAUUUUUAGAUGAUAUUAAAUUUUAAAGUGAAUUAUUUGAUAUUAAAGAUUUAAUAUUUUAAUGUUAAUUAAUGUUUAAUUUUUACUAUUUAUUAUAAUAAACAUAUUGGCGUUGACGACCGUGUUUAAUACAAUUAUAAUUUUAUUUAAAGAUUUAGAUUCAAAGGAAUUAUAAAUUUUGAUUUAUGACUCUAAUUUUUAAGUAUUAAUAUUUGAAAAAUUUAAAUAUAAUGAAUUAUGAAUUUAAAUGUACAUUUUUUUUAUAUUUGAAUAGUAAAAUUGAUUUUAUUUUGAAAAA
rnacentral:rRNA from 1 species